GAUGAACGCUGGCGGCGUGCCUAAUACAUGCAAGUCGAGCGAACAGACGAGGAGCUUGCUCCUCUGACGUUAGCGGCGGACGGGUGAGUAACACGUGGAUAACCUACCUAUAAGACUGGGAUAACUUCGGGAAACCGGAGCUAAUACCGGAUAACAUAUUGAACCGCAUGGUUCAAUAGUGAAAGACGGUCUUGCUGUCACUUAUAGAUGGAUCCGCGCCGCAUUAGCUAGUUGGUAAGGUAACGGCUUACCAAGGCAACGAUGCGUAGCCGACCUGAGAGGGUGAUCGGCCACACUGGAACUGAGACACGGUCCAGACUCCUACGGGAGGCAGCAGUAGGGAAUCUUCCGCAAUGGGCGAAAGCCUGACGGAGCAACGCCGCGUGAGUGAUGAAGGUCUUCGGAUCGUAAAACUCUGUUAUUAGGGAAGAACAAAUGUGUAAGUAACUAUGCACGUCUUGACGGUACCUAAUCAGAAAGCCACGGCUAACUACGUG
rnacentral:rRNA from 1 species